rnacentral:rRNA from 1 species
GCUCAACCUCGGGCGUGCGGUGGGUACGGGCAGGCUAGAGUGUGGUAGGGGAGACUGGAACUCCUGGUGUAGCGGUGAAAUGCGCAGAUAUCAGGAAGAACACCGAUGGCGAAGGCAGGUCUCUGGGCCAUUACUGACACUGAGAAGCGAAAGCAUGGGUAGCGAACAGGAUUAGAUACCCUGGUAGUCCAUGCCGUAAACGUUGGGCACUAGGUGUGGGGGACAUUCCACGUUUUCCGCGCCGUAGCUAACGCAUUAAGUGCCCCGCCUGGGGAGUACGGCCGCAAGGCUAAAACUCAAAGGAAUUGACGGGGGCCCGCACAAGCGGCGGAGCAUGCCGAUUAAUUCGAUGCAACGCGAAGAACCUUACCAAGGCUUGACAUGCACUGGACGGCUGCAGAGAUGUGGCUUUCUUUGGACUGGUGCACAGGUGGUGCAUGGUUGUCGUCAGCUCGUGUCGUGAGAUGUUGGGUUAAGUCCCGCAACGAGCGCAACCCUCGUUCUAUGUUGCCAGCACGUGAUGGUGGGGACUCAUAGGAGACUGCCGGGGUCAACUCGGAGGAAGGUGGGGACGACGUCAAAUCAUCAUGCCCCUUAUGUCUUGGGCUUCAAGCAUGCUACAAUGGUCGGUACAAUG